rnacentral:rRNA from 1 species
GACAGAGGUGCCGAGCGUUGUUCGGAAUUACUGGGCGUAAAGAGUGUGUAGGUGGUGUCGUAAGUUUGGUGUGAAAUCUCCCGGCUUAACUGGGAGGGUGCGCCGAAGACUGCGAUGCUGGAGUAUGGGAGAGGAAAGCGGAAUUCCUGGUGUAGCGGUGAAAUGCGUAGAUAUCAGGAGGAACACCUGCGGUGUAGACGGCUUUCUGGACCAUUACUGACACUGAGACACGAAAGCGUGGGUAGCAAACAGG